UAGGGAAUCUUCCACAAUGGACGAAAGUCUGAUGGAGCAAUGCCGCGUGAGUGAAGAAGGUUUUCGGAUCGUAAAGCUCUGUUGUAAGGGAAGAACAAGCGUGGGAGUAACUGCCCGCGCCAUGACGGUACCUUAUUAGAAAGCCACGGCUAACUACGUGC
rnacentral:rRNA from 1 species